AGAGUAUUAGUAAAAGUGAUUACUCUGUCUUGUCAUGACGGCAUCGUGGGUGGAACGCCUGCAUACUCUA
rnacentral:tRNA from 1 species